AUGCAUUUUUUUUCCUUAUAAAGUGUGGUAAAAUAAAUUUAUAUUUAUCACAUGGAAAUGAAGAAAAAUAUGGUUCAAAUCUCAAGUUUAUUUUAUGUUCUGAUCAUCUUUCGUUUUAUCUUUCUUGUUACCACCAACAGCGCAGUUUCCAUCCUUUGCAAAAGAAACUCUCAUUGUCCAAAAUAUAUGUGCUCCCCUCCUUUACACCAAGAGUGCAUUAGGAAUAUGUGCAUGUGUCUUUGAGUGAUUUUGUUGUGGGUGCCAAAAAGUCAUCAGAAACAAGUGUCAUGAGGAUUUGAACUCACGAACUCGUGUUGUAAAAAGCAUCAACUUUAGAUGGAAACUAAUGUCAUGAUACAUCAAAUAUAUUAUGUAUAAAAUAUGUAAGGUGUUCCAUGACAUCUAUCCACCAGGAAUGAAGAUCCGUCCAUGUGUCUAAGUGUAGUUGAAAAAGAAUUUAUGUUACUUGUAGUUGUAUGAUAUUAUUUGUGUCUAAUGUUGGUACUGUAUUGAUUUCCCUCACAUAUACUAUAUAUAUGUUUCUUUGAGCUUA